rnacentral:rRNA from 1 species
UACAGGGGGGGCAAGCGUUGUUCGGAAUUACUGGGCGUAAAGGGCCAGUAGGCGGCCAACUAAGUCCGACGUGAAAUCCCAAGGCUUAACCUUGGAACUGCGUCGGAUACUGGAUGGCUUGAAUUCGGGAGAGGGAUGCAGAAUUCCAGGUGUAGCGGUGAAAUGCGUAGAUAUCUGGAGGAACACCGGUGGCGAAGGCGGCAUUCUGGACUGCAACUGACACUGAAAGACGAAAGCCAGGGGAGCAAACGGG